rnacentral:ncRNA from 1 species
UAAAUAUUUAGGUUCUCUUUUAUUAAUUUGAAAAGAGAAUAAUAAGGAAUUGAGUUAAACUCUCAAACGGUCCGGCCACUGUAAUUGGUUAUAAUUCUUUUAAUACCACUGGUUAAUAAACUGGGAAGGUAAGAAUUUAUUUAUGCCAUAAGUCAGGAGACUUGCCUAAGUAUAUA